GAUGAACGCUAGCGGGAGGCCUAACACAUGCAAGCCGAGCGGUAGAGUUUCUUCGGAUACUUGAGAGCGGCGUACGGGUGCGUAACACGUGUGCAACCUACCUUUAUCUGGGGGAUAGCCUUUCGAAAGGAAGAUUAAUACCCCAUAAUAUAAUGAUUGGCAUCAAUUAUUAUUGAAAACUCCGGUGGCUAGAGAUGGGCACGCGCAAGAUUAGAUAGUUGGUGAGGUAACGGCUCACCAAGUCAAUGAACUUUAAGGGUCCUGAGAGGGAGAUCCCCGGCACGGGUGCAGAGACACGGACCAGACGACUACGGGAGGCAGCAGUGUGGAAUGGUAGGCAGUGGGGGAGAGUCUGAGCCAGCCAUCCCGAGUGAAGGAUGACGGUCCUAUGGAUUGUAAGCUGCUUUUGUACAUGGAUAACCCUACCCUCGUGGGGGUAGCUGACGGUACUGUACGAAUAAGCACCGGCUAACUCCGUG
rnacentral:rRNA from 1 species